UCAACUGCUGGGCACAUGGCCUGGGGCCUGGAAUGAAACUAGGAAACCAUUAAUUUAUAUAAUCUGCUAAUUAAGCUAAUUGUCUGAACGGCACUUUUUUUGUAUAGUCAUCAUAAAGAGGCAUAAUGAGCAUAAAAACAAAGGGUCUUUCUUUUUUUUCUUUUCUAUGUCUUAAUCAUCACUUCAAAUAUCCCUCCCUGCCUGGUUGCUAUAAUUAUAGGCUCUCGGUACAGAAAUGAAGCUGGUUUCCAGAGGAUGUUGAGUUCACAUCCCUGUUCUGCCAGAAAGCUGGCCCUGUCCUAUAGAAGCUUCUGAAAUUAGGAAUGCUUCUCUCGGCGUGCAGAUUUCCUUGGAUGCCUUUUGAUCACACAGAGACAGAUAUUUCAGAAUGCCAAGAGACAGAGACAGAGAUUCCUCUCCCUACGCAAUGGAGAAGUCAUAUUGUGAUAGAAAAACAUGGUGCUGUAGUGGACGCCAUGGGUGCUAGGCGGAUAGUGUUCUUCCGAGGACUGUAGAACAGAAUGCAGGAUGCCGUCACCAUGACCCCAGAAUGUUCUGGAACCCUUGGUAAGAGGCCCACUUGUGUGGUGAUGGAAGAAUAGGUAGAAUGGACACUUCUGUGCCCACACGCACUGAGAAGAUCAUCUCUAGGCAGUGCUGUCAGCAUUCACCCUUGGAAACGCUUGCCACUUCUAGGCACAAUUGACUCACCGCCACUGAAGAGAAUAAAGGAGAAUGUGCCACUUCUGAGACUGAGUCAUGGGAAGCACCACGGCCUCCAUCUUGGAUGAGAAGCAACAAGGAACAUGUAAAUGAGAGAAGGCAGAGAGGACUGUGACAAGGAGUCUGCGACUUUGGCUGUGCUAGGACAGAAGAGGCAGUUUAAGACACUGAAAGACGGACAUCAAGACAAAGGGUGGAAGGUGGUGAGGAGAUGUGGGACAUCUCUAACCUGCUGAACACUUUUCUCCACUGGCACAGACCGCAGUCUGGCUUCAUUCCUGCCUCCCUCUUCAGACAGAGAGCUCCCAAACUGAGGACCUGUAUUUGUUUGUCUGGAGACCCUAAGCCCCUGAAAGAAAAUAUCUGGAAGAAUAUGGUACCCAACUGCUACAGUGGCUACUUCUGAAAAGAGAUUGGAAAGAGAGAGGGGAUUUUCCAGUUCAUAAAAGUGAAAUCAGGUGCUGGAAGGUAAGUGCUCUAGAAUGCAUGUGAAAUGACAAAAGUGAGAUAGAAAACUUCACAUCACAUACAAACAGUUUCCUAAGACACCUACCAUGUGUGUUCACUUCGAAAAAAUAAAAAUAUACAAAAAAAUUAAAAGCAGUCAUCUUUAGAUGGUGGGUCACGACUGACUGUUGUUUUCUUUGAUGCUUUUUCUGUGUUUUCCAAAAUGCCUACAAGAAAGGUUUAUUAUUUUCACCAAUAAACAUGUACGCUUUUUAAAGGAAAAGAAA